rnacentral:rRNA from 1 species
AAUAGAUACCCUGGUAGUCCACGCCCUAAACGAUGUCUACUAGUUGGUCGGGGGGUAACUCCUUCGGUAACGCAGCUAACGCGUGAAGUAGACCGCCUGGGGAGUACGGUCGCAAGAUUAAAACUCAAAGGAAUUGACGGGGACCCGCACAAGCGGUGGAUGAUGUGGAUUAAUUCGAUGCAACGCGAAAAACCUUACCUACCCUUGACAUGCCACUAACGAAGCAAAGAUGCAUUAGGUGCCCGAAAGGGAAAGUGGACACAGGUGCUGCAUGGCUGUCGUCAGCUCGUGUCGUGAGAUGUUGGGUUAAGUCCCGCAACGAGCGCAACCCUUGCCAAUAGUUGCUACGAAAGGGCACUCUAUUGGGACUGCCGGUGACAAACCGGAGGAAGGUGGGGAUGACGUCAAGUCCUCAUGGCCCUUAUGGGUAGGGCUUCACACGUCAUACAAUGGCUGGUACAGAGGGUUGCCAACCCGGCGAGGGGGGAGCCGAAUCCCACAAAACCAGUCGUAGUCCGGAUUGCAGUCUGCAACUCGACUGCA